CUGGUGCUAAUACCGCAUGAUACCUGAGGGUCAAAGGCGCAAGUCGCCUGUGGAGGAGCCUGCGUUCGAUUAGCUUGUUGGUGGGGUAAAGGCCUACCAAGGCGAUGAUCGAUAGCUGGUCUGAGAGGAUGAUCAGCCACACUGGGACUGAGACACGGCCCAGACUCCUACGGGAGGCAGCAGUGGGGAAUAUUGGACAAUGGGCGAAAGCCUGAUCCAGCAAUGCCGCGUGUGUGAAGAAGGUCUUCGGAUUGUAAAGCACUUUCGACGGGGACGAUGAUGACGGUACCCGUAGAAGAAGCCCCGGCUAACUUCGUGCCAGCAGCCGCGGUAAUACGAAGGGGGCUAGCGUUGCUCGGAAUGACUGGGCGUAAAGGGCGCGUAGGCGGUUUACACAGUCAGAUGUGAAAUUCCAGGGCUUAACCUUGGGGCUGCAUUUGAUACGUGUAGAC
rnacentral:rRNA from 1 species